UUUCCGAGAGUCAGGCGGCUCUAAAGAAUAAACAAGCCACUGUGGACUUUGGACCAUGAUCCCUGAUAGCUGCAGUCUGAGUGACACAAUAAAGGAUUUAUUCGGGUUAGUGUGAUUAUAAAGGACCAGCUGAGUUGUUGACAUGGAAGUGCCUUGCUACCUGCCCAAACUCCUGUUUGAGCUCAAUGAGCAACGUAAGCGGGAUUUCUUCUGUGACUGCAGCAUCCUGGUGGAAGGCCGUGUCUUCAAGGCCCACCGCAAUGUGCUGUUUGCUGGGAGUGGAUAUUUUCGAGCUCUUCUGGUUCACUAUCUGCAAGACAGUGGACAGCGCUACAGCACAGCGUCGUUGGACAUCGUAACAGCUGACGCCUUCUCUAUUAUCCUGGACUUUCUCUACUCUGGCCGCUUGGCACUGAACAGGAACAACGUCAUUGAGGUGAUGUCAGCAGCCAGCUACCUGCAGAUGACUGAUCUGGUGAAUUUCUGUAAAGGGUACAUCCGCUCAUCUUUAGAAAUCUGCAGCAAGGAGAAGGAGAGGAGCACGGAGAAAGAGAGCCAGGCAGACGAUGGAGGAUUGGGUCUUGCAGACAGCGGCACUCCUGCUGCGACAGUCUCCAGCGGUGCAGGGGUUGCUGAGCCUCAUUCACAGCAGGUUACAGAGGCAGACAGAGGCUCGGGUUUAGGUUCAGAGGCCGCUACGUCUGCUAGAACCCCGUUGUCCAUCUCUGUCACGACCCCUCCAGGCUCCAGCAGGGACAUGGACAGCGCCUACUCUUCCAGGGAGGAAUUUGCAUCCGGGAGUGAAGGACAGAAGGGACAUAUGGAUCAGACUAAUCUAUCAUCCUCCUCGUCCUCUGCUUUGACUCCAGAGUUGGUGAACCCUAAGAUAGAAUACGACCCUGAUGAGGAGCUUAUGGAGUCCCCUGACACCAAAGACCUUGCUUCAUAUGCUGGGCCUCCGCUGCAUAACACCCAUCAUAGCAGGCUACUUCCCCCAAGUCCCUCUCCCUCCAAUGAACGCUCCCCCUUGGGAUACAGCUCUUCGUUUAAUACUCGACAGCUGAUGGAGAUGGUGGCCAGAGGUGAAGGCCCCACUCCUCUGGGGGAUAGAGUAGGGCAGCGCUUUGCCCAAGGACUAGGUAGCAACACAGGAGGAAGCAGGAUGGAUGAAAGUUUAGGGUUUGUGGGCUCAUCUAUUAUGGAGAUCCAGUCUGAUUGGCUUGGAGAGGACACAGGCGAUGGCUUGGUAGUGCCAGUGAAGCUCCACAAGUGCCCUUUCUGCCCGUACACUGCCAAACAGAAGGGGAUCAUGAAGAGACACAUACGUUGCCACACAGGAGAAAGGCCCUUCCCCUGUCCGAUGUGUGGCAAGAGGUUCACAAGACAGGAGCAUCUCCGCAGCCACGCACUUAGUGUCCACAGACAUUACUGGCCAGUAUCAUGCAAGAGCUGCAGACGAACCUUCACUGGAUCGAGUGUUUCACCAGGACUCAGACGCUUUGGCAUCUGCGACAGCUGCAACUGUGUGACCACCACUCACGAUGAUUCAGCCCCCGUCCACCCCUCCAGCCAAGCGGAACCCAUGGAACGUUCGGAUGGGGGUACAGAUUGGUCCAGUUUUAUGGACGAUGUGGACGAGGUGGAGGUUGGCCGAGUGGAAGACUUGGUGGAGAAACAGAUGCUUGAAAGACAGCUGGGUGUCUGCACUGAUGUAGGUCACACACUGUGAAUACGACAUCCUCGAUACUCAGAAGAAACCUUUCGCUGAACUGUGGCUACACUGUUAUUGUUAAAUUAUUACUGUAAAAUGACUCAUUUAUUGAUCCAUUUGCAUCCAGAAUAUCCUCUUUCUCACUAUUGCAGAUAUUGUGCUCCAGUGAUUUGCCUAGCAGUUCAGUACAUGCAACCACAGUCAAGUGUUCACUUGAAAAUUGACCAGAACACGAUCAUGGACACCCUCCACAAGGAAGACAGGCCACAGAAGGUCACUGCGGAUAAGGCUGUUGGCAGAGUGCUGCAUUGAGACAUAUUAAUGGGAUGCUGACUGGAAGGAAAAAGUGUGCACAAGCAACAAGGAUGACCGCAGCCUUUAGAAGGUUGUCAAAAAGAGCUGAUUUAAGAAGUUUAGUGAGCUUGACAAAGAGUGGACUGAGGCUGGGGUCAAUGCAUCAAGAGCCACCAAAAUGGACUAGAAAAUAGAAAUGCUUUAUUGAGCCACAAGAGGAAAAUCUGAAAUGAUGGCUGCAGGAAAGGAAAUGUGACCGUACCAUUCCUAAUAUCAGGCCACUCCUGAAUCAGAGACGUCAGAAGUUUAUACCAGGAUUAAGUGGAAGAAGAAAGUAAGUGUAAUGAACGACUGUCUUAUGAUCUUCAGUAUUUUUGCUACCUGUAUUUUCAUGUGGAGCUGUUGUUAUUAGUUUUCUUUUUUAUUGUCUGUGGUAUUUUAUAUUUAGUACUUUGUAUUUUGAUUCGGAUUGAUGUUACAUUAAUUACAGUUCCACAUGUUACAGCUUCACAUGAUUUGGAAAAACGUGGUUCAACUUAACACAUUUCAAAGUUGGGAUGGUGUUUAUAUCAGUUGUUCAAGGUGACCUGUUCACCAUCUUGUUUUGUAUAUUUAAAUAAGUGAAUAAUAAAAUACAGCACAGCACUGAA